CCUACGGGGGGCAGCAGUGAGGAAUAUUGGUCAAUGGGCGCGAGCCUGAACCAGCCAAGUAGCGUGAAGGAUGACUGCCCUACGGGUUGUAAACUUCUUUUAUAAAGGAAUAAAGUGAGGCACGUGUGCCUUUUUGUAUAGACUUUAUGAAUAAGGAUCGGCUAACUCCGUGCCAGCAGCCGCGGUAAUACGGAGGAUCCGAGCGUUAUCCGGAUUUAUUGGGUGUAAAGGGAGCGUAGAUGGGUUGUUAAGUCAGUUGUGAAAGUCUGCGGCUCAACCGUCACAUUGCAAUUGAUACUGGCAGCCUUGAGUACAGUUGAGGUAGGCGGAAUUCGUGGUGUAGCGGUGAAAUGCUUAGAUAUCACGAAGAACUCCGAUUGCGAAGGCAGCUUACUAAACUGCCACUGACAUUGAUGCUCGAAAGUGUGGGUAUCAAACAGGAUUAGAUACCCUAGUAGUC
rnacentral:rRNA from 1 species